rnacentral:rRNA from 1 species
AUGACUUUUCACAACGGAUAUCUCAGCUCUCACAUUAAGGAAGAACUUAGCAAAAUGUGAUACUUGGUGUUAAUUGUAGAAUCUCAUGAAUAAUUGAGUCUUUGAAUACAAGUUGGACCCCAAGCUAUUAGGUCAAGGGCAUGCUUACCUGGGUGUCUUGCACCGUCACCCCCUCCAAGCCCCUACCUAAUAGGCUUCAAGUGAGGGGCAAAAAAUGGCCUUCUAUGAUCUUGUCAGUCAUGUUUGGCCCAAAAGCAAGUAGCCAACAACAAUAGCACCAUGACCAUUGGUGGUCAAGCUCUUGGCAUGCCUUAUCUCUGGUGAUGCACUCUUGUUGUCCAUCCAAACCCCAUUGGACCCCCUGUAUUACUCGGUUGAUGCUUGCAACAUGACUCCAGGUCAAGCAGGAUUACCUAUUAAAUUUAAGCAUAUCAAUAAGUAGAGGGAAAGAAACUUACUAGGAUUCCCCUAGUAAUGAUGAGUGAAUCAAGAAUAACCAAACUAGAGAAUUCGGUGCCCUUAGUGUCCACAUUAUAGUCUGAAGAAGUGUCUUUAAUGAUGGACCGAGCCAAAGUCCCCUGGAAAAAGCUGCUGUAGAGGGUGAGAGCCUUAUUGUGCCUAGACCCUAUUACACCGUGAAGCACUAUCUAUGAGUCAAGUUGCUUAGGAAUACAGCCCUAACCGGGUAGUAAAUUCUAUCUAAAGUUGAAUAUGGGGGAAAGGCUAAUAGCGAACAAGUAUCAUAAGGGAAAGAUAAAAAAGACUUUGAAAAUAGAGUCAAAGGGUGCUUGAAAUUGUCAGAAGAGAAGUAGAUAGGGGCCGAUGAUGCAUCUCAGUUGAAUGUUGAAUGAUAAGUGUCGAUUUGCUGAUCAACUCAGGGCAUGGACUAACACAAGUCAUGGUAGUAGCCCAAGCCUAGGCUUUCGAUAUGCUAGCAAAGAAAUAGUCACCGUGAUCAUGGAAUGUAGCAUUAGCCAUCUCAACAUGCCUCAACAUCAAUGAGCUCCCUGCAUCAACCUAUGGGCUCCCCAUCCAGCUCAUCUUGAAACAUGGACUAAGGAGUCUAACAUGUAUGUGAGCCAAUGGGCUAAAAAACUAGUAAGGCCUAAAAAAGCUAAUUGGUGGGAUCCUUUAUGGGUGCACCAUCGAACUAUCUUGAUUUUUUGGGAAAGGUUCGAGUGAGAGCAUACCGAUUGAGACCUAAAAAAUGGUGAACUAUGCCUAAGCGAGGUGAAGUUAGAAGUAACUCUAGUGAAGGCCCAUAACAAUAUUGACGCAUAAAUCAUUCGUCUAACUUGGGUAUAAGGGUGAAUAACUAAUCAAACCUUAUAAUAGUUGGUUUCUUCUAAAGUUUCCUUCAAGAUAGCUAGAGCCCUUAGAAAGUUCUAUUAGGUAAAGCCAAUGAUUAGAGGCAUCAGAGGUGCAAUGCCUUUGACCUAUUCUCAAACUUUAAAUUGGUAGGAUGGCAAAGCUACUUUGUUCAGCCCCUCCAUGAAAUCAAGAGCUCUAAGUGGGCCAUUUUGGUAAGUAGAACUAGCAAAAUGGUAUGAACCAAAAACCAAGUUACGGUGCCUAACUGUACGCUAAUCUAAAACCCAAAAAGGGUGUUGGUCAAUUAAGAUAGCAAGACAUUGGUAAUGGAAGUCGAAUCCACUAAGGAGUUUGUAACAACUCACUUGUCAAAUGAAAUAGCCCUAAAAAUGGAAGGCACUUAAGUGUGUGACCUAUACCCAAGCAUUGGGUCAAGGGCCAAUCCUUGAUGAGUAGGAGGGCAUGACGGUCACCACAAAACCAAAGGUGUGAGCCUAGGCAAAGCUAUUGUCAAUACAUAUCUCAUAGGUUAAUCAAUGCUAAGAGAUAAGGGAAGCCCAUUUGAUAACUCGUUCAUCACAAGCUUUAAAAGGGAAUCAAGUUAAAAUUUUGGAAUUAGGAUACGAUAGCUAACAAUAAUGUUAGAGAGUUUAGAAAUGUCGACAAAGGCCUCGAAAAAAGUUAUCAUUUUAUUUAACUACCUGCCUAUCCUAAAAAUGGCUAAGCUAGACAUAGGGUCCAGUAGCAAGAAGAGCACUACACAUCACAUGGUGUCUGGUGCACCCCUGACAACCCUUGAAAAUUUGGAGGACUAAGUGCCAUCCAUGCCUGAUUAUACUCAUAACCACAUCAGGUCUCAAAAAUGAAUAGCCUCUGGUCGAUGGAACAAUAUGCAUAAAAGAAAUAGGCAAAAAUGGAUUUGUAAGCUAAGGAUUGGCCCUGAGCGCUAAGUAUGGGGGUUCUAGUACCAAACCCAUUAACUAUCAAAGCAUUGCUUGAGCUACUCCUGCAAUGAGAAUGGGUCAACUAGGUGAUGAAUUGGGAACAACUCACUCAAGGACCUUUCUUGGGUGACAAAUAGUUGACUUAGAAUUAGUAUGAAUAAGGGGAAUCCAACUUUUAAUUAAAACAAAGCAUUACAAUGGUCCAUGCAAAUGCUCAUACAAUGUGAUUUCUACCUAGUGCUCUAAAUGUCAAAGUGAAGAAAUUUAACCAAGUGAGGGUAAACAAUGGGAGUAACUAUAACUCCCAUAAGGUAGCUAAAUGCCUUGUCAUCUAAUUAGUGACACACAUGAAUAUAUUAACAAGAUUCUUGUUGUUCUUGUCUACUCUUCCUAUCAUUGUGAAGCAAAAUUCAUAAAGUGUUAGAUUGUUCACCCACCAAUAGGGAACAUGAGUUAGGUUUGGACCACCGUAAGACAAGUUAGUUUUACCUUAUUGAUGGUAAUGUUGCAAUAGCAAUUCAACCUAGUAUGAGGGGAACUAUUGAUUUACACAAUUGGUCAUUACGUUUGGUUGAAAAGCUAAUGGUCCGAAGCUACUGUAAGCUAGAUUAUGACUGAAUGCCUCUAAGUCAAAAUCUAGGCUAGAAGAAAUGCAUACACCUGUUGCCUAAUUGUCGACUUAUAGUAGGGGCCAAUGCCCUUAGGGGCACAUGUUGUAGGUGCAGGCUCUGAGACAAAUAAGCUGUGGAAGCUUUUUUAGAGCUUAAUACCUACCAAGUGGCAAGUAGAAUCCUUUACAAAUGACUGAAAUAUGCAAUGGGGUAUUGUAAGUGGUAGAGUGGCCUUGCUGCCAUGAUCCACUGAGAUUCAACCCUUUGUCACUUUGAUUUGUCCCUCCCCCUUCCCACACCCACUGAAGUCCUUUCAUUUUAUUUUUUUACAUUGUACCCUUUUAAGGUUGGGGAUGAAUGGUGUUUUCCACUGUAACCAAUUUGGUUGGGGGAUGACAUCCCUCCCUUAAACGUCCAAGUAAAUGACAACCAAAUGCCCUUAGUAUUUGUUAUAGGGAUAGGCUCACUUUUGGUGUGAGCACUUACCUCAAACUCUAUCAGCACACAUUGGCCCCUUGAUUGAUUCUACCUAUAUUCCAUUGACAGUACUUGGCCCUUCGUUCAUGUGAGCAAUUGUAUCCAACACCAUUAGUAGAUGAUGGCCCAUUAUUGCCUCGAACACUAUCAAUAGGGCCCUUGGUUUGGGAUGUUGCAUCAGACACCAUCACUAGAUGCUAGCAUUGGGU